UGUUAAAAAAUUCAUCUAUUUUUACUAUUAAAAAUUAGUGUAGCUGAUAGAAUAACCAUGUAUCACAUUUUGACAUAUAAAGACCAGUUUUUAAUAAUAGAAACUAAUGAAAUUUUUAAUA
rnacentral:pre_miRNA from 1 species